rnacentral:piRNA from 1 species
UGUGAAGAAAGUUGGAAAAGAGCA